UCAACCAUCAAGCCUUGCUUGGUAUUGGGUGCCGUCCCUGCUGCGGACGCUCCCUAAAGUAAUCGGCGGUGGUGUUGAACCUCAAGCGUAGUAGAAUCUCCAGCUUUCUAGGUGAGACGCCGCUCGGCCUCGAGAAACCCUUCAUUUCAA
rnacentral:misc_RNA from 1 species